GAGCUCAGUACGACUGUCAGGUGAGCUCAGUGGUUUAUCUGGACCCGACGCAGAAGAAACGUCGCCGCGCGAGGAUGGGCCUGACGAUCGGCAACUUCAAGUGCUGCUGCUGCUGCUGCUUCGACUGCUGCGACCCGCCGCCGCCGCCGCAGCACCACCACCACCACGGGCCGCCCCCGCCGCACUUCGGCGGACCGCCCCCGCCGCACCACGGGCCGCCUCCGCACCACCACGGGCCGCCCCCGCACCACCACGGUCCUCCGCCUUACUGAAACCUCAAGAAGACACGCUCAGCUGUUAUUUUCGAACAAAGAAGGACGAAGUAAAAAGUACUUUUCCAGUUUGGUGCUACCCUAAGUUUGAGUAACUCGAGUGAUGAGAUUGUGAAGAAAACCAACUGCCAGGAAUUGCUCUGCCAACAACCUAAUGUAGCCAUAUACUUACAGUAUGAUUGUGUUAACCAGAACAAGCUCAAUAAUUAAUACUGUAGCAAAAAUUCCAGUUUUAUUUUGUGGUUUGUGAAAACGGUAAACUACUGCCAGGUUUUUAAUCUGCAUUUGCACCAAAGAAGAAACUUAAAAUCAAAAUGUGGAAUUGGUAGCGUGCAUUGUGCUUCAGAAAAUUUAAUUUUAUGCUUCAAUUUUUUACAUAUCUCAAAUAGUUUUAAGUAUUCAUUAAUAAAUAAAGCCUUGUAUAACCAUUGAGUAUAAAUUCUGGAAACUGUUGAAAUGUGUAUAUAUAUAUAUUCAGGAAUAAUAUAAGUAGAUAAUAACUAUGAAUUGAUUUUUGUCUAGUUUCCUUAGCAUUAAAGCAAUUUUUUGAAAGCAUCCUUAGAUCCUUUGAAAAUUCGAGUACUGCAAUAUCCUGUUAUUUACUAGGCCUAUUUUAAAGGCGAUUUUUCUGACACCUGCCUAAUCCAUCAGCUUUCAAAGGGUUAAUGACUUAUUGACCAUUAACUAAUUAAUUGUUUAAAAAUUUAAAAAAAAAGAUAUCCAUCUGAUAUCGCACUUAAUUUUAUCACACAUACCACUUACUAUGCAAUGAAACGUAUCUGCAGUACUUUUGUCUUUUAUAUUCAACGUUUAUGGGAAGUUUAAUUCAUAAUGAGAAACAAAACUCGUCAGGCCACAUUUUUACCACUUGAUUAGCUUUACUUAAUAAUUAAUAUCUCUCUAAUAAACUGAAAAGCAAAGAACGAUCUUAGCUGAAAGUGUA